AGUUUGAUAAAGCAAGGAGAGGAAGGGCAUUCCAGGAUGAGGGAAUAGCAUGAGGAAAGGCACAGAGGCUAAGAGGCCUUGCCUGGUUUGGGGAACUGCAAGAGUAGAGCGGUCAGUGGGGCAAAUGACCCCCACCCCCCACCCCCCAGGCCUGGCUUAAAGAGCAUGGUCUCCACUGUCCACCAGGGGGAGCCCUUGAAGGAGUUCAGGCAGGGAAGUGGCUUGAGCUGAGGAGUUCUAGAAAGAUCACUGUGACUGGAGUGGGUCUGAUGGACCCAAGGAGAGGCUGCAAGCAGGGAAACCAGUUAAGAGGCCAUUGAAAUUGUCCAGGCAGAGGGCAGAGAGGAUUCAGCUGAGCCAGUGCCGGCAGAAAUGGAGAGGGGGGAACAUGUUAUCAAGAGGGAGGGAAAGAGGGGAGUUUAGAAGUGGCCUGGGUCAGGACGGGAGCCAGCUAAGGAGCAAGAGGAGGAGGCCAGGCAUCCAGGAGGCCAAUGGAGCAGGAAGAGCCAGAGAAGAAGGGGGAGGAAGCCCGGAAGUGAAGGUGGGGGAACCUGGGGAAGGAGCCAGAGGUCAGUAGCGGAAAAUGCAGUCGGGUUGUCGGGGGUCGUUGGUUCUUUGUUUUGUUUUGUUUUUCAAGUCGAGGAGAUAGAUACCUCAUGAGCAGAAAGGGUACCUUGUUACUUUAAAUGUCUACUUAUUUGAAUAUGGACAAAACCGGCCUUUUUUAUUUGCUUGUUUCCCAAAUGUAACUUGUCUUAUAUAUAAAUCAUCUUUCUAUGUCGUUGGCCAUUUACUUAUCGUGGAACGUACUGCACUGCUUUGAAUCAAGUGUUCACUGGAGGGAAGCUCUGAAUAUCCUGAAGCUGGUGGUGUCUCGAUCUGCCAGCCUGGUUUUGCCUUCCUACCAACACAGUGACCUUUCAAAGAUGGAAAUACACCGAGUGUGGACGAGUGCUUCCAAGGAAUUACCUGGGAAAACUCUGGACUUUCACUUUGAUAUUUCAGAGUUGCCUGAAGAGGGAGAGGCUUACUUUACGGUUAUGUCAAAGGAGAGCUGUCAAGGCCUAGGUUAGGGUCACUUUUUUAAGAACACGUUGAGUGUCAUAGUCCCUGGGGCUCUAAUUUGGCAGCUUUUAAAAAUAGAAGCUACCUCUGUUAUAUAAAAAUGAUUCCCGGAAGUCCCCACGUGGCCCAGAAGAUUCCGGAUCCGGUGUUGCCGCAGCUGUGGCACAGGUCGCGACUGCAUCGUGAGAGCGGCCAAAAAAAAAUAGAAUCUUCCAAAAAAGAUAAGUUUAAAAUGGAAUGAUGUGAAGUAUUUUAAACCAUGACCUUCCCUCAUUCUUUAUCUGACAGCUGUCAUGUGCUAUCUUAUAUCCGCAACCCUGUUCCCCGAGCUGCAGUCAAACCAGCAAAUGGCUGAGAUUUCCAGGAAUACAGAGUCUGCCUUUAUGGUUGCUUCUCCAAGACACAUGGCUUUUGAAAACAGUAAAAGUCAAAAUUCUUGUCUUGAGAGAGGGGUGGGGAGUGUGGGGGGAAGAACCUAUGAACUAAGUAGCCUGGAAGAAAAGAGGACAGAAAAGAGUCAGAUGUAUCUGCUGGUCCAUGAACGAACUUUGGGGAGGCUCGUAUUUAACUAUAUUCAUCUAAGAUGUAAAAAUACACUUGCUUUCCUAUCUCUCUUACCCCAGGACCCAUAAUCCCCCCAAAGCAGAAAGUACAGUCUCUCCAUUUUGCAGCAGGAUCUGUACAGUGUUUGGUGCGUGAUAGGUGCUUCAUAAAUAUUCCACAACUUCCACAGUACCGCUGAAAGAAUUAGUUCACGAAAGGAAUAAACUAGAUCUGCUUGCAUUCAUUAGGUAGUAGCCAGAUUGGGUCCCCCCCAACCCCCCUGGCCACAGUGUCUCAUUGACCUUUCAUCAUUUCAAUACUCAGGGUGAGCUGUUUUGUUGCCAUUGGGAUAUUUAGCAUCUAUAUGAUAUAGAGAUAUUGAAUCAGUGUUUUUCAAUUUGUACCCUUUUUUUUUUAUAUUGCAGGGUGGGCAGGGGGAAGCUUACUCUUUGACUUAAGUUUAUUCUCUUUCCAAAAGGUACAGAAAACCUUAGGCAAUCACCUGCAUGCCCGAGAGAUCAGCUGCUUCAGAACAAUGGGCCUUGAGGACAGGGGGGACAGGGGGAGAAUUAAGCCAGUGUCUGCCAUCUCUGAAUGGAGGCCUAGGAAUGGGUCUCUGUGGACACCCCGCUGGGGCUCAAAUUUAGGAGACCCUGCACCACUGUCCCCCCUCUCCCCAGGCCACCACACUCUAGGAUUCUCAGGAAGUGAAAUUUCUGAAAUGUUGCCCGAAAACCUGGCCCUGACCGCAUUCAGUUAAAUAACUGCAAAGAUAUAAAUAGUUUAAAAAAAUUUCUAAGUCAUUGGAAGUGUGUCAAGAUGGGCCAUUACAGAUUGGGACAAAGGGAAGAAAUUUUGGUCUUCUUAUAAGAAAUUCUUUCAGGAGUUCCCGUUGUGGCUCAACGGAAACAAACCCAACUAGUAUCCAUGAGGGCCCGAGUUUGAUCUCUAGCCUUGCUCAGUGGGUUAAGGAUCCGGCAUUGCUGUGAGUGGCGGUGUCGGUCACAGAGGCAGCUCGGGUCCCACAUGGCUGUGGCUGUGGCGUAGGCCACCAGCUGUAGCUUGGAUUCGGCCCUUAGCUGGGAACUUCCAUAUGCCUCGGGUGCAGCCCUCAAAAG
rnacentral:lncRNA from 1 species